GAUGAACGCUGGCGGCGUGCCUAAUACAUGCAAGUCGAGCGAACAGAUAAGGAGCUUGCUCCUUUGACGUUAGCGGCGGACGGGUGAGUAACACGUGGGUAACCUACCUAUAAGACUGGGAUAACUUCGGGAAACCGGAGCUAAUACCGGAUAACAUUUGGAACCGCAUGGUUCUAAAGUGAAAGGUGGUUUUGCUAUCACUUAUAGAUGGACCCGCGCCGUAUUAGCUAGUUGGUAAGGUAACGGCUUACCAAGGCGACGAUACGUAGCCGACCUGAGAGGGUGAUCGGCCACGCUGGAACUGAGACACGGUCCAGACUCCUACGGGAGGCAGCAGUAGGGAAUCUUCCGCAAUGGGCGAAAGCCUGACGGAGCAACGCCGCGUGAGUGAUGAAGGGUUUCGGCUCGUAAAACUCUGUUAUUAGGGAAGAACAAAUGUGUAAGUAACUGUGCACGUCUUGACGGUACCUAAUCAGAAAGCCACGGCUAACUACGUGCCAGCCGCCGCGGUAA
rnacentral:rRNA from 1 species